AAUAGUCCUGUAUGUUAAACGAGAAGACUUUAGAUAUGAUCCAGAGUACCACGGGACACGUGAAACCCUGUGGGAAGCAGGAGGGACCACCCUCCAAGGCUAAAUACUACCUAGUGACCGAUAGCGUAUAGUACCGUGAGGGAAAGGUGAAAAGAACCCCGGGAGGGGAGUGAAAUAGAACCUGAAACCCUGCACUUACAAGCUGUGGAAGCACAUUUCUUGUGUGACCGCGUACUUUUUGUAGAACGGGCCAACGAGUUACGUUAAGUAGCAAGGUUAAGCACUUAAGGUGCGGAGCCGUAGCGAAAGCGAGUUUUAACUGAGCGUUCAGUUACUUGACGUAGACCCGAAACCGGGCGACCUACCCAUGAGCAGGAUGAAGCGAAAGUAAAAUUUCGUGGAGGUCCGAACCCACGAGCGUUGAAAAGCUCGGGGAUGACUUGUGGGUAGCGGUGAAAUUCCAAUCGAGCCCGGAGAUAGCUGGUUCUCCCCGAAAUAGCUUUAGGGCUAGCCUCAAGGUGAGAGAUACGGAGGUAGAGCACUGAAUGUCCUAGGGGGUAUUGCACCUACCGAAGACUAUCAAACUCCGAAUGCCGUCAUCUUAUACUUGGGAGUCAGACUGUGGGUGAUAAGAUUCAUAGUCGAAAGGGCAACAGCCCAGAUCGUCAGCUAAGGUCCCUAAAUGUAAGUUAAGUGGUAAAGGAUGUGGGAUUGCACAGACAACCAGGAUGUUGGCUUAGAAGCAGCCACUCAUUCAAAGAGUGCGUAAUAGCUCACUGGUCGAGUGAUCCUGCGCCGAAGAUUUCCGGGGCUAAAACUUACUACCGAAGCUACGGCAUCAGUAAUGAUGGGUAGGGGAGCUUCCCAUACGGGUUGAAGCAUGACCGUAAGGACAUGUGGACAGUAUGGGAGUGAGAAUGUUGGCAUGAGUAGCGAGAUGUGGGUGAGAAUCCCACAGGCCGUAAACCCAAGGUUUCCAGGGGAAGGUUCGUCCGCCCUGGGUUAGUCGGGACCUAAGCUGAGGCCGAAAGGCGUAGGUGAUGGACAACAGGUUGAUAUUCCUGUACUACCGAUAACCGUUUGAGAGAAGGGAUGACACAGUAGGAUAAGCUAAGCACACUGUUGGUUAUGUGUGCCCAAGCAUUGAGGCAGUCAAAGUAGG
rnacentral:rRNA from 1 species